AGGGGGAUGGGGCUUAGCCCAUAAAGAUAGAUCAUCAUGGUAGGAACCCAACCUUAAAAGGUUCAAUGGGUAGAAACAAACCGGAGUGUGACUAAGAGGAGCACUAUUUCAUAUUUUUCUCAUCCCUAUGGUGCUAGUGUUUAUAAAAGCAAGUGGUAGGAUGAGUUCGUUUGUAUAACUCUUAAUGAGUCCGAGAUCCAAGAGGCAGGAGCUUCCUUGCUAGCUUUCUUAUU
rnacentral:lncRNA from 1 species